CACAGGGGGAAAAACAGCCCCACCUGUCUUAGAGAUUCCACAAGGCUGACUGAAUUUCCAUGAUUGCAGAUAGAUGGAAUGUUAUAGGUCCCGAGCCAAAUUAACUUGUGCUAUCUUAAGAGCCAAGGAAACUACUUCCCAAAGCACAGAUCUGGUCUAAUGCACACGUCCCAGGAGUAGCUUUAGCUUGGAGAAGCUUGAGAUCUUCGCGGGUGAGGGGGGGAGGAGAAGCAGAGUCAAGAGGGAAAUGCUCAGGAAAAAAAGCUUACAUUUCGUACUUGAUGGUCAGUUGUGUUUGUUGUCAUUUGACAAAAUUAGAAUCAACUAGAGGAUGGGCCUGAGUAUGUCUGUGAGAGAUUACAGUGACUGGCAAGAUGCACCUGCUGUGGGAAUGGAAUCCUGAACAGUAUAAACACGGAGACAAUGAGCUGAGCACAUUAAAAACUUGGUGAUGUGUGUAAUCCCAGUGCUGGGAGGCAGGAAAGGUGGAACUUGAGGGCUUUCUUGUCUGCCCACUUAGCCUAGUUGGUUGGUCAUCAUUAAGAUUUAAAAAAAAAAAAAAAAAAAAAAAAAGGGAAGGUAGUUUUGCUCCUGGGGAGUGACAGCUGAGGCUAUUAAACCCUGGCCUCCGCAGGGAGCUGACACACACCUGUGCUCACACAUACCUACACAUACACAUGCACACACGAAGACUGAAGUCAAAGCAGCCUUGAUUGUCAGUAACAGGCUUCCAAUUAUCUACUUGGAAAACCACGCCCAAUGAAACGAGCAUCGCAUGAGAAUUUACUGUUAUUCAACCAGUUUUAACAUCGUAGUGAGACAAAAUGCGUCCACGUUUCGGAGAUAGUUUCGCUCUACAAAGGAUGAUGCAGGAAGGUUUGAGGCCGGCUUGGGCUACCUGUAUGAUCUCGGGUCAGUCUGAUGUACAUAGGGAGACGCUACCCAGAAACUCAAAAGGUUCUCCUUGAAGUUUGUGUUUGUAAGGAUUUAGUUUACCUACUUUUCUCCUCGGUAUGCCCUCAACAUGGCAUGAAAGACUUUAGAAACUGGGAUUCACCAUAAUGCUCACCAACUCGGGAAUUUCCUACCACGCCUCUGAAAGGCUGGGAUUGUUGGCGUCCACCACCUCGUCAGUCGCCUACUGCAUCACUUUACAUUAAAAACUAGCAAUAGAAAGUCUUUGCAGUAACCUCACUCAGUCCUGAAAGUCGGCGCAGAGCUCCGGACAGGUCGCUCCCCGCCCACUUCUGGUUGCACGCUUCCGGUGGCGCUACGCGUUGUGCCGCCCCGGCACCCUUUCGGUCCCGCAGCAUCGCUGAGGUUCGGCGGCUACGGUCGCUCAAGCGGCCGCAGGACCGGUCGCGAUGCUCCACGGGACUCCAGGGGACAGCGGGCCUCUUCAGAGCAACUUCCGGACAUCCUGCUCCGUGGAGCUCCCGCGAAACUCGGUUCCGCCUGCGUACUGGGUGACGUGACCGGAAGGGCGGGCUUUGGCUACGGAGCCUCCAACUCGGCCUUCCGUAGGCGCGCUCUCGACUUGCUGAGCCAAUCGAAAGCCACGUUUUGUCGUAACAGCCAAUCUGAGAGGCCCGGAGCCUUUAAGGCCCUCCGUGGGCUGCACUUCGGCCUCUGUCUUGCUCGGAAGUUCUUUUGUUCGCCGUCUCUGGUGUUUCUACCGUGUGUACCUGCUCGCGUGCAAUCCGCCGCCAUCGCGCUUUGGGCGAGCAUUGUAAUGGGUAGUAGAGAGGCGGCAGCCGAGCGGAGGCCGACCUGGCUUUGGCGAUGGUGGCGCGCGCUCUGGAGGACCGAUCGGAGACCAGCGCCCGGAGGCGGCUCACUGAUGUGGAGGUGACGGAGGAGCUUUUGGUGUGACCUGGCGCCAUGUGUGUGAUACCACACGAGCUUGACCGAGCGUGCCACGCAAUCAUAAUUCAGCGAACCUUUUGCUUCGAUGAGGCAUCGUGUUGGUGAUGACUAGAAGACAUACGUGGCUUGGAAGAUGACGUGAAAUACACAGGAAAGGGCCUGUUCAGACAGUGGUGUUUCUGAUUCCUGCUAAGGAAAGUGCUCCACACAAGCCUGAUGACCUGAGCUAAUUCCUGAGGCCCACAGGGUGGAAGAUGAGAGUUGACUCCUGAAAGUAUCUUCAAACCACACAUACACAAUAAGAAAAAACAAUAUAGUAAAGCUGAAACAUUAGAGUGUUGCUGUUUUAUUGAAAUGUAAAAUGGUACAAGUAAUUAUGGAACAAAUGUAUUCCAUACCUUGUGACAGUUUUGUGUAAAACCUUACCCUCUUCUAAAUGAGAAAGGGAUUAAAGUUGUCAAAAGAAUUUAACUUUUAAGUCUUUCAUUUUCUUUUAUAAAGGUUUAUUUCUGAUGGUAUGUUGUAUGUUUGUGUGCCCUCAUACAGCUGGAGUUACAGACAGUUGUGAGCUGCCUGAGGUGGGUACUGUGAGCAACAUGCUCUCACAAGUACCAAGUCAUCUCUCCAGCCCAACUUUUUGUGAAUGAAUUUGAAAGUUUUUGCAUUUUGGAGAAAAAGCAAAAGGGAGGUGUGCUGUUGUAAUGUGGCAGUUGCCAAUCAAAAUGAACUGUAACUUCUUGUCAGUUGCUGCCUGGUAAGAGGGCUAGCCCAGACACAACCUACUAGAAGUGUCCUUAUUACAUUUCAGGAACCAUGCCAAAUAGGGUGGCUGCCCAAUACAACCAGGUAGUUUGUCUUCAGAUCCAAUUGUACUGCUGUCUGUCCGGUUCAUUUGUAGUAUACUUAAUAAACAUAGUUUUCUACUAUUCUGACUUGGGUGAGUUCUUUUACUGUCUGCUACUCCAAACCACAGCAUUUGGUGGCUCAAGGGGAGUGGAGAACGCAAAACUCUUAGGACUCUCCUUCAAUUAAGGAAAUAACGUCAGAGCAACAUUGGCUUUGAAAGUUGUCCAGAUGUUCAGUUACAUUCACUCUUAAGAGUAGAGGGCCAGCAGGGUGUUGGUGGCACACUCCUUUAAUCCCAGCACACAGGAGGCAGAGGCAGGCAGAUCUCUAAGUUUGAGGCCAGCCUGGUCUCCAGAUCCAGUGCCAGGAUAGGCUCCAAAGCUACACAGAGAAACCCUGUCUCAAGAAAACUAAAAAGAAAAAAAAAGUUGAGGGCCAAUGCCCCUGGUUUUAGUAGGAGAAUGAAUGUUCCUGGUAAAAUCUGUGGUUAUGUCCAAGGGUUAAACUGCCUUGCCUUGUCUGAUAGAAGACCUUAAUUGUCAGGCAGCUUAUCCAGAGAAAAUCUGCACAUUGGCCCAUCUUUAUCUACUUUUUCAGGCUUAUCAGGAGUUGGCAGCCACUGAGAAGCAGUAGUAUAUCUGGUUACCCGACUGAGGCCAUACCUUAGAAACCUCAGUUUUUGUUAUUCCUUUUAUGUCUUCCCUUCUGGCCUUCAUUCUGACACUAAUGUCAUCUGAGGAUUUCAUGACAUCUGAUCUGAGAACUGGGAAACCUUAGGUUUCUUGCCAUUUAGCUGUCUGCCCUUGUCAGUAGUUUUCAGUAAGAUAAAACUAGCUGACCUGUUGGACCUGCCUGAAAAGGCACGAGAACUGAGAAAGACAAAAGGUAGUAGAGUCCAGAGGUUUGGACCCUUAUUAUCUUGGAGACACCUUAUUAGUAAUUAGGGUCGCUGAUCCCCUUUUAUCAGGUGUCAGGCCUCUAUUAUUGUAGACUCAUCAUUGAGAUGUUAGUUUCUGGAGCUUCCUUAAAACACCACCAUGUCACCACUGGGAGAUGGUGCACACAGGCCUUUAAUACCAGCACUGCAGAGGCAGGUGGGUCUCCAAGUUCCAGGCCAGCCUGGUCUAC
ensembl:lncRNA